UACAGAGGGUGCGAGCGUUGUUCGGAAUUAUUGGGCGUAAAGGGCGCGUAGGCGGUGCGGUAAGUCACCUGUGAAAUCUCCUGGCUCAACUGGGAGCUUGCAGGCGAAACUGCCGUGCUGGAGUGUGGGAGAGGUGCGUGGAAUUCCUGGUGUAGCGGUGAAAUGCGUAGAUAUCAGGAGGAACACCAAUUGCGAAGGCAGCUCGCUGGGACGUUACUGACGCUGAGACGCGAAAGCGUGGGGAGCAAACAGG
rnacentral:rRNA from 1 species